rnacentral:misc_RNA from 1 species
GAUGAAGAACGCAGCGAAAUGCGAUAAGUAAUGCGAAUUGCAGAAUUCCAGUGAAUCAUCGAAUCUUUGAACGCACAUUGCGCCCUCUGGUAUUCCGGGGGGCAUGCCUGUUCGAGCGUCAUUAUAACCACUCAAGCUCUCGCUUGGUAUUGGAGUUCGCGAUCUCGCGGCUCCUAAAAUCAGUGGCGGUGCCUGUCGGCUCUACGCGUAGUAAUACUCCUCGCGAUUGAGUCCGGUAGGUUUACUUGCCAGCAACCCCCAAUUUUUACAGGUUGACCUCGGAUCAGGUAGGGAUACCCGCUGAACUUAAGCAUAUCAAUAAGCGGAGGA